CCCUUAGAUGUCCGGGGCUGCACGCGCGCUACACUGUAGAAAGCAGCGUGCUUUAAAACCUUUCCUGAAAAGGAUGGGUAACCCCAGCAAAAUUCUACGUGCUUGGGAUAGAGAUUUGCAAUUUUCUCUCUUGAACGAGGAAUUCCCAGUAAGUGCGAGUCAUCAGCUCGCGUUGAUUACGUCCCUGCCCUUUGUACACACCGCCCGUCGCACCUACCGAUUGAAUGGUUCGGUGAAGAUCUCGGACUUCGAUAUUUAUUCUUUAUUGAGUUUAUAUUGUGGGAAGUUAUCUAAACCUCAUCAUUUAGAGGAAGGUGAAGUCGUAACA
rnacentral:rRNA from 1 species